rnacentral:rRNA from 1 species
GAUGAACGCUAGCGGCAGGCCUAACACAUGCAAGUCGAGGGGUAGCAGGAUUAAGCUUGCUUAAUUGCUGACGACCGGCGCACGGGUGCGUAACGCGUAUGCAACCUACCUUAUACUGGGGUAUAGCCCGGAGAAAUUCGGAUUAAUCCCCCAUAGUACUAAUGAAUCGCAUGGUUUAUUAGUUAAAGCAUUGCGGUAUAAGAUGGGCAUGCGUCCUAUUAGCUAGAUGGUGAGGUAACGGCUCACCAUGGCUACGAUAGGUAGGGGGCCUGAGAGGGUGGUCCCCCACACUGGCACUGAGACACGGACCAGACUCCUACGGGAGGCAGCAGUGAGGAAUAUUGGUCAAUGGGCGCAAGCCUGAACCAGCCAUGCCGCGUGCAGGAAGAAUGCCCUAUGGGUUGUAAACUGCUUUUAUUGGGGAAUAAACCUCUUUACGUGUAGAGAGCUGAAGGUACCAAAUGAACAAGCACCGGCUAACUCCGUGCCAGCCGCCGCCGUAA